rnacentral:rRNA from 1 species
UACGUAGGGUGCAAGCGUUGUCCGGAAUUAUUGGGCGUAAAGAGCUCGUAGGCGGUUUGUUGCGUCGGCUGUGAAAUCCCGAGGCUCAACCUCGGGUCUGCAGUCGAUACGAGCAAACUAGAGUGUUGCAGGGGAGACUGGAAUUCCUGGUGUAGCGGUGAAAUGCGCAGAUAUCAGGAGGAACACCGGUGGCGAAGGCAGGUCACUGGGCCGCAACUGACGCUGAGGAGCGAAAGCAUGGGGAGCGAACAGG